rnacentral:rRNA from 1 species
AGUGAACGCUGGCGGUAGGCCUAACACAUGCAAGUCGAACGGCAGCACAGUAAGAGCUUGCUCUUACGGGUGGCGAGUGGCGGACGGGUGAGGAAUACAUCGGAAUCUACUUUUUCGUGGGGGAUAACGUAGGGAAACUUACGCUAAUACCGCAUACGACCUACGGGUGAAAGCAGGGGAUCUUCGGACCUUGCGCGAUUGAAUGAGCCGAUGUCGGAUUAGCUAGUUGGCGGGGUAAAGGCCCACCAAGGCGACGAUCCGUAGCUGGUCUGAGAGGGUGAUCAGCCACACUGGAACUGAGACACGGUCCAGACUCCUACGGGAGGCAGCAGUGGGGAAUAUUGGACAAUGGGCGCAAACCUGAUCCAGCCAUACCGCGUGGGUGAAGAAGGCCUUCGGGUUGUAAAGCCCUUUUGUUGGGAAAGAAAAGCAGCAGGUUAAUACCCCGCUGUUCUGACGGUACCCAAAGAAUAAGCACCGGCUAACUUCGUG